UGUGACUGUAAAGCUGAACAGAUGCUUUUCCUGGGACUGGGUAUUAAUGUGGGCUGGUGUUGAAGGUGUGUAAAUGAACCUUGUGCAAACUUGCAUCAAAAUGCAGGAGUCUUUUUAUGUGGGAGGAGAUCCUUAUCUUUAGGAAAUUGGGUAUGCAAUGCUGCAGAGAUUUCUUCCAGUAGAAGGCGCACGCAGGCAUUGUAAGCAAGGCCAAAAGCUUUGAGAGCCCAAUGAGCAAAGGGAGAGGAAUAGAGAACUUUCCCCACCAGGAAAUUUUAAAGCCAGUAAUAAACCAUCCUGCAUGUACAGACAUGCAUAUAUGUUAAAUGUGGGUAUAUUUACUUCUGCCAUCUCCACCUUGACAGAGAAACCUGCAGGUUUCUUUUCAGCCAUACAAGCAAUUGCUUUAUGGUCUCAAAAAUCUGAAGGUUAAAUUGGAUUACAUAGGAACCUGGAAAAUUAAAACAAAAGUACAGUUUUCUCCCAGAAAUGGAUGUAUGCCUUCCAUUAAAUGAAAGAAAACAAACAAGAAAUGGGGAUAAAGCACAGUGAAGGUAAUGCCAGUGGGUUACACACUAGUUAGCCAGGCAGAUGUGUAGAUACGAUUUGUGUAAUGACUGAGUUACCAGAAAAAUGGCUUCAAGAAAAAAAGUUAUACUGAAAGACUGUGCCUCUUUGCAGAGCUUCACAGUAAUUAUAGGAAACAGGAAACUUGAGGGCAAAAGGGCAUUUCUUUAAUUAUCAACAGUAAUUUAUCUUGGCUAAAUGGGAUACAAUAAAAGAUGCUUAAUUUUAAACACACUCCCUCCCUUUGCUCUGCUUCUCCCAUUGGAAACUCUGGGAGACUGCUAUGGGAAUGCAGAACGCUCUCAUGGGUGCUGUAGAUGUUCAAGAACCAACAGAAGCUGUUUGUUCCCUUGGUUUUUGUACAUCAAGCAUCUCCCUGGGCACAAACGUGAUGCAGAAGAGUGACACAGCUCAGAGGACUGCAGAUGCUCACUCCUGUGCCUCCACACUUACAGUACUGCACAGCAGUGCUUUGGUGACGGUACCCACUGAAGGUAACAUGAAAGAGAGUGAAAUCCUUAAGCGUUCCCAUGGAAAAGCACACACUGCGGCCAAACAGCGCACAAGUUUUCCUGUGUCUAACCAUACACUGCAGGUCUGGCUGAAGGCACAGGAAUUUACCCACGCUUUGCAGUGCAGGCUUUCUGGUUGCUGCCACAGCAGUGCUCAGGAGAAGGGGAUGGAACAAUUUCCAGUGGGCGCACAGCAGUUCCAACUCAAAUCCUCUCCUUGUCUCUCCCAGCCAGGUGGGCGGGGGGCAGAGCAGGGCCACAGAGCUGCCCAGGAGAGGUUUGUAUUUAUUCCCCCUACUCUGUUUGCAGACGGGACUGACCUGUUGUCAUAGGUUGAGUCUAGAGGGCUUGGUGUUGGACCUCUCACUGCCAGACAGACAUUGAGGUACUGGAGUGUGCCUGUGUGCAGAGAGGGGAACGGAGCUGUGAGGGCUCUGGAGCACACAUCUGAUGGGGAGCUGCUGAGGGAGAGGGGGGUGGGGGGGGCAGUGUGGAGAAGGGGCUCAGGGGAGACUUUAGAGCCCUCCACAACUGCCUGAAAGGAGGUGGUGCUGGGAUGUGGGUAGGCCUCUGCUCCCAGGUAACAGCAAUAGCACAGAGGGAACGGCCUUGAGUUGUGCCAGGGAGGGUCAGGUUGGGCGUUAGGAAACAUUUCUUCCUCCAAAUUGCUGUCAGGUGCUGCAAUGGGCUGCACAGGGAGUGGUGCAGUCACCGUGCCUGGAGGUGUUCAGGGAGCACGGGGCUGUUGUACCGAGGGCCAUGGCGGUAUUGGUGGUAGGUGGGCAGCUGGACUGGGUGAUCUCGGAGGUCUUCUCCAGCCUGAGUGAUUCGAUGGUUCUAUGGGGAAGACCACAAUCAGCCCCUGGUUUUAUGUUAGACUGACAGCACUCAGUGGUCUCAGAUGGUUUCCUGCACUGCCUCCUGCUCCAGUUCAUGCAGAACCCGGACAAACCUGCAGAGCGUGCAGUGCCAUUUCUUGUACAGAAAAGGUGAGGGAAGCUUCCAUCGUUACAGCUGUCCUUCAGUGGUGUUUAUCAGCCAGAAGCAUGGAGGAGCUGGCUCUAUACCUGUAGACAAACACAGGCUUGGAGACUGACAGGCUCCACAGUGGGUCACCAUUCAUCCAUCAUUUUAGCCUUCAUUUUUUUUUUCUCUUUUGUCUGCUUAUUUGUAUAAGUUGUGAACUGCAUUGUACCUACCAUAGCAAUUCCAUGGAUUUUGGCCACAAGGUGGCAUCUGGUUUCAUAAUCUUCCUUUGCAAUAUCACUUCUUUUUCCCAGUCUUGAUGGACCAAUGCCCAGUUUCUCACAGCAGAUUACAGCCUCCUUUCCUUCUGCCUUACGGAGUGCCUCCAGGAGCGCACGCAGUGUGACUUUGUGGCCUUCUGACUCCCAUAGGUGGGGCUGCCAGCAGCGGUGGUGACCUUCAUGGCACUGCUCUGUAACUGCCAUCCUCCACCCUUGCCAUGUGUUAACUGCUGUGUGCGUUAGGAUUGUUGCCUGGUCAGGGAGAACUGCCACACGGAGCUCUUUUCACCUGUGAAGUGGCGUGAAGUUCCUUGAAGCUGCUAGGAAAGCUGGUCUCGGGCUGGGCCCUGCCUCCAGGAAAGCACCCUACAACUUCUUAGUUCUCAGUGAGCUUUCUAAAGCCAGGGAUAAGGCUUCCUUCUUUCUGCUUCUGCGUAUCUCCCACGUGCCUGCAUUUGGGGGAUGAAAAACACUGACUUGGAGGGCCAACAAGAAACCCAGCGAGCUCUGUUUUGCAGCAAGUAACUACAGCACCUGUGCUCCUGACCCAUCAAAGGAAGCAAUACUAGAAGGUGCCAAGUGGACCUUAAGUGUUUUAAAUAACAACCCAGCUGCUGGGGAAUGAAGGCUCAGCAGUGCGUGUCCAGAUGAUCCUACAGCCCACCACAAACAUCUGUGGGGGCUCUUUGCAGAUUAGAGACCACAGGGUGAGGACCUCUGUCAGCCAGGAUGGGAGACCACCUCGGAGCCUGAGGUGUGGGUGGAUGCUGGGCAGGCACACAGUGAGUGAUGGACGAGGCAGCAGGUAUUCAGCUUUGUUACUGCUGAACUGAUGGAUCAAGGAAAACGGGAGAAGUAUCUUUCAUAGAGCCUUUUAGAUGAAGAACACCUUCAAGAUCAUCACAUCCAACUAUCGACUUGACUUACUGAGUCCCUUAGUGCCAUGUCUUACAACUCCUACAUGGCUCCAGGGAUGGGGACUCCACCGCUGCCCAGGCAGCCCAUUCCAGUGUCUGACCACCCAUUCCAGUGUCUGACCACCCAUUCCAGUGUCUGACCACCCUCUCCAUGAAGAAAUUCUUCUUAGCGCCCG
rnacentral:lncRNA from 1 species